CCGGUGGCGUCCUUGACCUUGCCGAAGAGCACGUCCAUCUGGUACAUGUCCCAGCGCCGCCGCAGCUCCUCCUCUUUGGAGCGCACGCUGUCCUGGAGCCUGUCGUCGGACUGCAGCAGUACCUGCUCGCGCUGGGUCUGCUGAGAGACGAGCCCAGUCACACUACUGAUUCAGGCCACUUCUACUUGGGGUGGUGCUCCCGUCCCCUGGAGCCUCUUCAACCUCACCUGGAACAGAAACUGGCCACUGGAUGAACGCCAGUGAAACGCUCCUGCCAGGUCGGAGGACUGUUGACUCUUCACCCUUCUGUGCCCUCUGGAGCCAUCUUACCUAACAGUUGUAUCUUCCUAUGUAACUCAGCCACCUGCGUGUGCACAGCGGACUUCCCCUCGCUGGCGUGGAAAGGUGCCGCCUUGGAAUGGAGUGAGUGCCAGGCCUGCACUGAGCCCUUGCCUCGAGGGUGGUAAGGCUUGAUCUGAGCCUGACUGCCCUUGACUUUGGAGGGAGUUGAAAUCUGGUCCUGAGAAGGCAUGGCGUUUGCGGAGGCCGCCCAGCACAGGGGAGACGUCAUGAUUGGGUUGAGGCCAAGGAUCCCUGGGGGUUAGGGGAUCCACUAGGAAUUGCCUCUGUCCGGGAUCCGUCAGCUCCUG